ensembl:lncRNA
AGGCCUUCUGUGGUAGCAGACAGAGAGCAGCGGUUUGAGGCAUUUGGGAUGAGCUGUUUCUUGGCAGCCAUCCUUGCCGCUCUGUUUGAAUUUUCAAAAGUGCACAUUUCUUCCCUGGUGUCACUGCUUAGUGAUAAAGUGGCAUUCUGGCUGUUUAAAAGACAUGGUGAGGCAUGCCUGAAAUUCCAAGACUGUCGAGGUAAAGACAGGAGGAUGGAGAGUUUGAGGCCUACCUGAGUUACAGAAUUUUGUCCUUUUCCUUGAGUCUCUGUUUAUCACUGUCACAUGAUGGUAGUCACGCUCCUUUAGCUUCUGGACAACCACCCACCCAGUUUGCAGUAGUGUGUCAUGAAACCUUGGAGGACUGAUAUGCUACCUGACAUUACAUAUUUAUCUUCUAUACGCUCCACUGGAAGGACAGCUUUCUUACACCGAGGAGUUGGUUAUCUG